rnacentral:lncRNA from 1 species
CAGCUGUGUACGUUCACAUCGUUAACACAAAAAUUCACCCAUUAAUCCAUCCAAUUAAAUUUUAAGAUAUUUCACAAAUAUGGAAAUCGACAUUUGAGUCACAUUUUCUUAAACUAAGGGACAAUUUAAUCGGCUUAAUUUAGUUUAAAACAAAAAUGGAGAAUAUUAUGACGCAGUUAACUUGCACCAUUUGGUACUUUUCCAGAACCAAUGCCAAAGUAAAUCAGGACGAAAGCGGGACAACACGACAAAAAGGAAAAAGAGAGAGAGAGAAGUGUAGUAGUUCUUUUUUGGCGAAUCAAAACAACAAGAACAGAAACUCCCAAAGAAAAGAAAAAAUGUCUUGUUAAAAGUUGCACUGUCGAGAGAAAAGACGAAUGAUUUACAUAGGACCUUGGCCAAGGAUAUACACCAAAAACUUAAGAGCGUGACAACACGCCCGUCCGUAUAAAGACGACGAAUUGAAAAAGAAGGGCUCGAGAACUGGGAAAGAGAGAGUCCACGCAAUCACGUUCUUUUUCUCGCUUUUUUCACUUACGUUUCGCACUGCGAUUUAGUUUGUUUCUAUUCUAUAUAUUUUACAGUUAGAAAUCGCCAGAAGGAAAUGUGACCUCCUCCUCUUAAAUAUCGGUGGCAUAGAAUACGAAAAUAUACUUGAACACUAAGAGGAAUCCUUCAAUGUCAAGAAAAAAAAAAGAAAAAAGGGGAGCCGUCCCGAAAUGGGAAGGUCAUCGCAAAUACAUUUUUAAAGCCCCGAAAAGGUUUCGAUCCGAAACGGCCACAAUGAAACAGCAAUAGGCACUCACACGUCCGGUUGCCCCGAUCUAUCAGAGUGGACCCUCCACACAUCAAGAAGGAGAUGCUCUGGACAGUUACGUGACCAGAGUAUUGAAAUCUCUGAUGGAACGAACUCAUUUUUGUUUUAUUUACCCGUUUGGUUGCUUCGUGACCUGCCCUUUUUGUUUUUGUCUCUGGACAUGUCUGUCGUUGACUUGAAGAAAAAUGACUUUACUCGUAAACCUCAA